CCAAUAGCGUAUAUUAAAGUUGUUGCAGUUAAAAAGCUCGUAGUUGAAUUUCGGGGUCAAUAAGUUGGUCGUGCCAAUGGUAUGCACUGGCUUUAUUGAUUCCUACCUCUUGACGAACUGUGAUGCCAUUAAUUUGGUGUCGCAAGGAAUCAGGACUGUUACCUUGAAAAAAUUAGAGUGUUUAAAGCAGGCUUACGCUGGAAUACAUUAGCAUGGAAUAAUGAAAUAGGACGUUUGAACCUAUUUUGUUGGUUUCUAGGAUCGACGUAAUGAUUAAUAGGGAUAGUUGGGGGCAUUAGUAUUCAAUUGUCAGAGGUGAAAUUCUUGGAUUUAUUGAAGACUAACUACUGCGAAAGCAUUUGCCAAGGAUGUUUUCAUUAAUCAAGAACGAAAGUUAGGGGAUCGAAGACGAUCAGAUACCGUCGUAGUCUUAACCAUAAACUAUGCCGACUAGGGAUCGGAUGAUGUUAAUUUUUUAAUGACUCAUUCGGCGCCUUACG
rnacentral:rRNA from 1 species